rnacentral:misc_RNA from 1 species
UGAUUUAUUCAGCGUGGUGUGUUUCGUCUUGUUUUAUUUUGUUUGGCCGGUAACAGUGAAAAAUGAAGAUCGAGGAGGUAAAAAGUACCACAAAGACACAGAGGAUAGCCUCUCAUAGUCACAUUAAAGGCUUAGGACUUGACGAAAGUGGGUAUGCCAUUCAAUCCGCCGCCGGUUUGGUCGGACAAGAACUUGCUCGUGAGGCAGCUGGUGUUGUGGUGGAGUUGAUCAAAUCCAAGAAGAUGGCCGGCCGAGCCAUGCUCCUAGCUGGACCCCCAGGGACAGGAAAGACUGCCCUGGCCUUGGCCAUUGCUCAGGAGCUGGGGAGCAAGGUGCCCUUCUGUCCAAUGGUAGGAAGUGAAGUGUACUCCACUGAAAUUAAAAAGACGGAAGUUCUGAUGGAGAAUUUCCGCCGCGCCAUCGGACUCCGAAUCAAGGAAACCAAAGAAGUGUACGAGGGAGAAGUCACAGAACUGACUCCAGUGGAAACAGAGAACCCCAUGGGAGGAUAUGGUAAGACAGUCAGCCAUGUUGUGAUUGGUUUAAAAACUGCCAAGGGAACGAAGCAGCUGAAGCUUGAUCCAUCUAUAUACGAGAGUCUGCAGAAAGAGAAAGUAGAAGUAGGAGAUGUAAUCUACAUUGAAGCCAACAGUGGAGCAGUAAAGAGACAAGGUAGAUCUGACAGCUACGCUACAGAAUUCGAUCUGGAGGCAGAGGAAUAUGUGCCCCUCCCAAAGGGGGAUGUCCACAAAAAGAAAGAGGUCAUUCAAGAUGUCACACUCCAUGAUUUAGACAUUGCAAAUGCCAGACCACAGGGAGGACAAGACAUCAUGUCUAUGAUGGGACAGCUAAUGAAACCAAAGAAAACAGAAAUCACAGACAAAUUACGGAAGGAGAUUAACAAAGUUGUGAACAAGUACAUUGAUCAGGGUAUAGCUGAACUGGUGCCAGGAGUUCUGUUCAUAGACGAGGUUCACAUGUUGGACAUCGAGUGUUUCACAUACCUCCACCGUGCUUUAGAGUCGACAAUCGCUCCUAUUGUGAUAUUUGCCACCAACCGUGGAAAAUGCACCAUCAGAGGUACAGAGGACAUUGUGGCCCCGCACGGAAUCCCCUUGGAUUUACUGGACCGUGUCAUGAUCAUCAGAACUCUCCCUUACUCCCAGGAAGAAAUGGUGCAGAUCCUGAAAAUCCGAUCCCAGACAGAGGGAAUUCAGAUAGACGACUCCUCACUCGCUCAGCUUGGUCAAGUGGGAGUCAAGACUACACUAAGGUAAGAAGCCCAAACUUUUCUGUGGUCUUCAUAUUUAUUACAUAUUUGUAGUAGUAAUUAAUAGAUGUCUUUAAUCCUUUAAAUUUUGAGACCAAGAUUAUUAUACUGAGUUUUGAAUGAAAAAUCAAUACAUGUACUUUGAAUACACAUAAAAACAAUGUAUGCAAGAUUUAGGACCUUACAAAUAUAUUGGGAGACCAGUAAAUGUUAAUGUGUGUGUACAGGCUUCACCUGUACAUUAACACUACUGUAGUUAUUGCUCCUUGCUAUUACCGGUACUCUGUAUCAUAUGAUCUAUAAGAACAAAGUUACCUUAUGUCUUUACAAGUUCCAUACACCUGCUCUUAUUUAAUGUAUACAGUGACAUAUUUGCCCGUUUUAUUUUCACCUUUUUGCCCUCAUUGUCAGUGGGCAAAGACUGGGCGAAUUCUGAUGUCUUAAAUUAUCUCUAUUUAAUUAAACACAACUGUGUCUUGGUGAAUUCAAGAUGGGGUGAAACUUUUACUUGAAAAGUUAGAAGGGCAAAAAUAACAAGAGGCGAAAAUAACUGUGUAUACAGUAUUUAUACUGGUACUCUGUACAUGCCCAAUGAGGUACUUUAUACCGGUACUGUUUUUUUUUAUUAUAGGUAUUCAGUACAGCUGCUGACCCCUAGCAACAUCCUGGCCAAGAUCAAUGGAAAGGACGCCAUUACCUCUGAGGAAAUCGAUGAAAUCAACAAACUGUUCUACGAUGCCAAGUCCUCGGCCAAGAUCCUGGCAGAACAGGAGGACAAGUUCAUGAAGUGAGGAGCUGUGUUCAUGGCGUUAACUUUUGAGGACAAUGUUUCAUUGUGUAAAGACAUUGUGGAAGGUUCUGUUAACAACAUCCUGUGUGACGGACCACUUUCUGAGAAAUCUCAUCUGACAGUUCUGUUGCUUUUGUUCUACAGAAUUUAUUUGUUGUUCCAUGAUUUGUACAUACAUGUAUACCGACAUUAAAAUUUCAUUCACAUG